rnacentral:rRNA from 1 species
UACGGAGGAUGCGAGCGUUAUCCGGAUUUAUUGGGUUUAAAGGGUGCGUAGGCGGAAUAUCAAGUCAGCGGUAAAAAUUCGGGGCUCAACCCCGUCGUGCCGUUGAAACUGAUGUCCUUGAGUGGGCGAGAAGUAUGCGGAAUGCGUGGUGUAGCGGUGAAAUGCAUAGAUAUCACGCAGAACUCCGAUUGCGAAGGCAGCAUACCGGCGCCCAACUGACGCUGAAGCACGAAAGCGUGGGUAUCGAACAGG